rnacentral:rRNA from 1 species
AUGGAGGUUCCGGAAGACCAUAGAGUUCCUAUGGUCGCAUACAAGCUGAAAGGAGGAGCCGGUGCAUGGUGGCAUCACGUUCAAGAAGAGCACAAGCUGAGAGGAGAAGCUCAUGUGAGAACUUGGUGGCAAAUGAAAACUCUCUUGAAAGGGAGAUUUUUGCCCGCUGAUUAUGACCAGAUCCUAUUUAUCCAAUUUCAAAAUUGUACUCAAGGAAAUAGGACUAUUUCAGAUUACCUGGAAGAGUUUCUAAGGCUACAAGUGAGGUGCAACCUUGCUGAAACUGAAGAUCAACAAGUUGCAAGGUACAUCAAUGGUCUCAAUGAUGCUAUUCAAGCUCGAAUGAUGAUGCAACAAAUCUGGUAUGUUGAUCAAGCACAAGCUCUAGCCUUAAAGGCCGAGAGGUUUAUGAGGACAAGAAGGCAACUAAAGCUCCAUAUCCUCCAUAUCGUCAUACCGAAGGCUCGUCUAGGAGUCAGCCUAAUAGAGUGGAAGAAAGGACGGCUCCACCAAAGGCAAAACGACCCAUCCAAAAGCAAACUAGAGGCAAGGGCAAGUCCAAUGAAGGCCCAAAAUGCUAUAAAUGUGGUGAAGAGGGACACAUAUCCAGUGACUGUCCACUAA